AGCAGCCGCGGUAAUUCCAGCUCCGAUAGCGUAUAUUAAAGUUGUUGCAGUUAAAAAGCUCGUAGUUGAAUUUCGGGGCUAGUAGAUUGGUCAUGCCUCUGGUAUGUACUGGUCUCACUGAUUCCUCCUUCCUGAUGAUCCGUAAUGCCAUUAAUUUGGUGUUGCGGGGAAUUUGGACUGUUACUUUGAAAAAAUUAGAGUGUUUAAAGCAAGCUAACGCUUGAAUACAUUAGCAUGGAAUAAUGAAAUAGGACGUUCGAUCCUAUUUUGUUGGUUUCUAGGAUUGACGUAAUGAUUAACAGGGAUAGUUGGGGGCAUUAGUAUUCAAUUGUCAGAGGUGAAAUUCUUGGAUUUAUUGAAGACUAACUACUGCGAAAGCAUUUGCCAAGGAUGUUUUCAUUAAUCAAGAACGAGAGUUAGGGGAUCGAAGACGAUCAGAUACCGUCGUAGUCUUAACCAUAAACUAUGCCGACUAGGGAUCGGAUGAUGUUAAUUUUUUAAUGACUCA
rnacentral:rRNA from 1 species